CAGCCGCCACGGUAAUACGUAGGGUGCGAGCGUUGUCCGGAAUUACUGGGCGUAAAGGGCUCGUAGGUGGUUUGUCGCGUCGUCUGUGAAAUUCCGGGGCUUAACUCCGGGCGUGCAGGCGAUACGGGCAUAACUUGAGUACUGUAGGGGUAACUGGAAUUCCUGGUGUAGCGGUGAAAUGCGCAGAUAUCAGGAGGAACACCGAUGGCGAAGGCAGGUUACUGGGCAGUUACUGACGCUGAGGAGCGAAAGCAUGGGUAGCGGACAGGAUUAGAUACCCCUGUAGUCCCUGUCUCUUAUA
rnacentral:rRNA from 1 species